CAGCGGCAGACGGGUGAGUAACGCGUGGGAACGUACCUUUUGGUUCGGAACAACACAGGGAAACUUGUGCUAAUACCGGAUAAGCCCUUACGGGGAAAGAUUUAUCGCCGAAAGAUCGGCCCGCGUCUGAUUAGCUAGUUGGUAGGGUAAUGGCCUACCAAGGCGACGAUCAGUAGCUGGUCUGAGAGGAUGAUCAGCCACAUUGGGACUGAGACACGGCCCAAACUCCUACGGGAGGCAGCAGUGGGGAAUAUUGGACAAUGGGGGCAACCCUGAUCCAGCCAUGCCGCGUGAGUGAUGAAGGCCCUAGGGUUGUAAAGCUCUUUUGUGCGGGAAGAUAAUGACGGUACCGCAAGAAUAAGCCCCGGCUAACUUCGUGCCAGCAGCCGCGGUAAUACGAAGGGGGCUAGCGUUGCUCGGAAUCACUGGGCGUAAAGGGUGCGUAGGCGGGUCUUUAAGUCAGGGGUGAAAUCCUGGAGCUCAACUCCAGAACUGCCUUUGAUACUGAAGAUCUUGAGUUCGGGAGAGGUGAGUGGAACUGCGAGUGUAGAGGUGAAAUUCGUAGAUAUUCGCAAGAACACCAGUGGCGAAGGCGGCUCACUGGCCCGAUACU
rnacentral:rRNA from 1 species